AGGUGUGGACGACGUCAAGUCAUCAUGGCCCUUAUGCCCAGGGCGACACACGUGCUACAAUGGCAUAUACAAUGAGACGCAAUACCGCGAGGUGGAGCAAAUCUAUAAAAUAUGUCCCAGUUCGGAUUGUUCUCUGCAACUCGAGAGCAUGAAGCCGGAAUCGCUAGUAAUCGUAGAUCAGCCAUGCUACGGUGAAUACGUUCCCGGGUCUUGUACUCACCGCCCGUCACACCAUGGGAGUUGAUUUCACUCGAAGCCGGAAUACUAAACUAGUUACCGUCCACAGUGGAAUCAGCGACUGGGGUGAAGUCGUAACAAGGUAACCGUAGGAGAACCUGCGGUUGGAUCACCUCCUUU
rnacentral:rRNA from 1 species